CCCAGGACAGGGCCACCCCGGGGAAGCACCAAGCACCGAGUGGGCGGGCAGAGGGAGGCAAGUGAGCUGUGAACAAGCACUUUGAUGAUAGUUUCCGUGGAAAAGAAAGGGGAGGCCGGGCAAACAUGCUUGGGAUUGGCUAAUUCGAAUAAUGUCAGGGGGCUCAGGGCUGUCCCUGGUAGCCUGGUACCGGGCCCUGGGAUCGUAGGAGCGGUCGUUGGGGGUGUGGGCAGAAUCUAACGGUUGAGAAGGACUAACCGACCUAUCAGCGGCUCUCAAACCCGGGUCAAGACCACACCCACCCACCCACACAGAGUGAUAGAAGUAUCCUUUAAAUUUUGUGGCAAGUCUAUUCAUACUUCAUAUUAGUUGAUAGUCAUUUGGAACUUUCUAUCUUGUUAAAACUUGAGACUCUUCAUUUAUUCCUAAAUUCCUGAGGAAGUCUGGCAGAGAAUGGGUAGCCCCCUCCGUUGAGCAGCAGAUUGGGAAUGGGAGAGGUAAGCCUGGGAGUUUCACUGCUUGGGGUUGCCUUUGGACCCAUUUAAUUGCCUGGAACAGUGCAACAAAGUAUGUGAUAUUUUUGUACUAGUGGAUCUUUCUCUGAACAUCAUGACUGCUCUUUUCUGAUGCCAAGGCCAAAUUAUACAUGCAUCUUUUAAAAGACAAUAGCUCUGUAGUUGAAGAGUAAUUACUUUUCCAACUUGCACAGUAAAUUUUCUUUUAAAACACUAUCUGCAGUGUGAAAUUGAGUAGACAUCUGAUGGAGCUCAACCCAUUUAUUUCUCCCCUCAAAAAAUCAUUAAGUUUGAGUCACACUGAAAGUUGUACUGACAUUAAAU